rnacentral:rRNA from 1 species
UACGGGGGGGGGCAAGCGUUGUUCGGAAUUACUGGGCGUAAAGGGCUCGUAGGUGGUCAACUAAGUCAUACGUGAAAUCCCUCGGCUUAACCGGGGAACUGCGCCUGAUACUGGUUGACUUGAGUUUGGGAGAGGGACGCGGAAUUCCAGGUGUAGCGGUGAAAUGCGUAGAUAUCAGGAGGAACACCGGUGGCGAAGGCGGAUCUCUGGGCCAUUACUGACGCUGAGGCUCGAAAGCGUGGGGAGCAAACAGG